GAUGAACGCUGGCGGCGUGCCUAAUACGUGCAAGUCGAGCGAACAGAUAAGGAGCUUGCUCCUUUGACGUUAGCGGCGGACGGGUGAGUAACACGUGGGUAACCUACCUAUAAGACUGGGAUAACUUCGGGAAACCGGAGCUAAUACCGGAUAAUAUUUCGAACCGCAUGGUUCGAUAGUGAAAGAUGGUUUUGCUAUCACUUAUAGAUGGACCCGCGCCGUAUUAGCUAGUUGGUAAGGUAACGGCUUACCAAGGCGACGAUACGUAGCCGACCUGAGAGGGUGAUCGGCCACACUGGAACUGAGACACGGUCCAGACUCCUACGGGAGGCAGCAGUAGGGAAUCUUCCGCAAUGGGCGAAAGCCUGACGGAGCAACGCCGCGUGAGUGAUGAAGGUCUUCGGAUCGUAAAACUCUGUUAUUAGGGAAGAACAUACGUGUAAGUAACUGUGCACGUCUUGACGGUACCUAAUCAGAAAGCCACGGCUAACUACGUG
rnacentral:rRNA from 1 species